rnacentral:piRNA from 1 species
UAACAUUUUCAGCUACCAUAAAAUGUAAGA